GAUGAACGCUGGCGGCGUGCCUAAUACAUGCAAGUCGAGCGAACAGACGAGGAGCUUGCUCCUCUGACGUUGGCGGCGGACGGGUGAGUAACACGUGGAUAACCUACCUAUAAGACUGGGAUAACUUCGGGAAACCGGAGCUAAUACCGGAUAAUAUAUUGAACCGCAUGGUUCAAUAGUGAAAGACGGUUUUGCUGUCACUUAUAGAUGGAUCCGCGCCGCAUUAGCUAGUUGGUAAGGUAACGGCUUACCAAGGCAACGAUGCGUAGCCGACCUGAGAGGGUGAUCGGCCACACUGGAACUGAGACACGGUCCAGACUCCUACGGGAGGCAGCAGUAGGGAAUCUUCCGCAAUGGGCGAAAGCCUGACGGAGCAACGCCGCGUGAGUGAUGAAGGUCUUCGGAUCGUAAAACUCUGUUAUUAGGGAAGAACAAAUGUGUAAGUAACUAUGCACGUCUUGACGGUGCCUAAUCAGAAAGCCACGGCUAACUACGUG
rnacentral:rRNA from 1 species